AUUGAACGCUGGCGGCAUGCUUUACACAUGCAAGUCGAACGGUAACAGGCCGCAAGGUGCUGACGAGUGGCGAACGGGUGAGUAAUGCAUCGGAACGUGCCCAGUCGUGGGGGAUAACGCAGCGAAAGCUGUGCUAAUACCGCAUACGAUCUAUGGAUGAAAGCGGGGGACCGGAAGGCCUCGCGCGAUUGGAGCGGCUGAUGUCAGAUUAGGUAGUUGGUGGGGUAAAGGCCUACCAAGCCAACGAUCUGUAGCUGGUCUGAGAGGACGACCAGCCACACUGGGACUGAGACACGGCCCAGACUCCUACGGGAGGCAGCAGUGGGGAAUUUUGGACAAUGGGCGCAAGCCUGAUCCAGCAAUGCCGCGUGCAGGAAGAAGGCCUUCGGGUUGUAAACUGCUUUUGUACGGAACGAAACGGUCUGAGUUAAUACCCUGGGCUAAUGACGGUACCGUAAGAAUAAGCACCGGCUAACUACGUGCCAGCAGCCGCAGUAACAC
rnacentral:rRNA from 1 species